rnacentral:misc_RNA from 1 species
GUAGGUGAACCUGCGGAAGGAUCAUUAACACGUAUCCAACGUAUCCACCCCUGUGGUCCUGUGCGCGGCUCUAUAUGUGAGUGGUAGAAACCAACUUUGUAACCUUCGUGGUUGCAAAGGUGCAAAUCCCAUGAUCAGAGAAACCAACUUUGUAAAACCUUCGUGGUUGCAAGGUGCAAAUCCAUGAUCAGAGGCAUGUUGGUCUGCUGACUGAUAUGACAAAGACCUAAUCAGCCUGCGCGGUUGAUGG